AGCCUGGGACUGCGGGAGACAGGAGGAAAGCAGGAAUGAUGCUUUGGGGCAGCAUCCCUACGCAGUGUCACCAGGAAAACCCAACCAGCGAUGGCACACGUGGGUUCCCCAGGGAAUUCCAGGCAUUUGGCUGAAGACAGGCACACCCGGGUGGACAGACGGUGGUUUCUCAGGAUGAAGUGAAUUCCUGGUGUGAAUCACUGUGUCAAGAAGGAGGACUUUUCUGACAUCAGUUUCCAAGCAGCUCACCCAGACUCUCUUAACCAAGAGGGCACUGGAGCAUGAUGCUGUUGCAGCCCAUGCUUUACUUAUUUUCUCUAUUUUCUAAAGGGCCAUUUAAACCAAAAGGGAACCAUGGCCCCUAGAAAUGCUGAAGAGUAGCUUGGUAUUUCUGGAAUCUGUCCGCCUUACUUUGUGAAAGGAAAAAAAAACCUAGUGAUUGUUAAUGUGGAAGAACAACCCUACUUACUCUGUCUUACAAUAAAUGCUCCCAAAGUAAAACAAUUAUAUCCUUUUAAUAUCCACCUAUGUCACUUAAAAUCAAUUUUAUUUAGCUGUCUAAUUCUGUUAACAUUGGUUUAUGAAUACACAGUAUUUCAAAUCCUCAGUCUUUUAAUUUUCCAUACCUCAUUCUUUUAGGUAAAAUCUAAUAUCUUCCAGGCUUACUAAGCUUGUGCAUUCAUGUUCGUUUCUGUGAUCGACUGUAUAAUAUUUACUUAUAACAUUCAUAAAAACACCCCACAAGCCAAAAGCUGUUCACUGCAGGAAGAUGAUAAAAUAUAAAAAUAUUUAAUCAGCCAGUGGGAAUUCCCUUGCAUGCUAAAUCAAAGGCUCCCUCAGAGGGCCCACAGGGACAUUGUAAGGCCAGCGAUAUAACCAUGCUCAGCAACAGCAGGAGGGAAGGCUUCAGAAAAUCUGCUCUGGUCAAGGCCCUUCAUGUCUCCAGAAAACAGCUCUACAGAGUCUGUCACAAAAAAUCAUCUGUGAAUCCUCCCCUGCGCCAGUGUGUGGUGAUAGCAGUGUCUGCCCUGCGCCUUGCCUGUCACUCCACAUGCCAACUUUGAUGACUGCCAUGUGCUUCCAGCUGUCUCCUCCGAAGGACUGUGAUCUCCAAGAAGGCAGGCCCCUUGGGAGAUGUUUCACCCCUCAACACAAUGCCUUUGUUUUUAUUCAUAGGUAGUUAAUUAAAUAAAAGUAUAACAAUGACCAAA
rnacentral:lncRNA from 1 species